GGUUUGAUGGUGUAGCUGGUUAUCACGUCUGUCUCACACACAGGAGGUCCCCGGUUCGAGCCCGGGUCAAACCA
rnacentral:tRNA from 1 species